AUUGAACGCUGGCGGCAGGCCUAACACAUGCAAGUCGAGCGAGCGGCGGACGGGUGAGUAAUGUCUGGGAAACUGCCUGAUGGAGGGGGAUAACUACUGGAAACGGUAGCUAAUACCGCAUACCCUCGGAUGUGCCCAGAUGGGAUUAGCUAGUAGGUGGGGUAACGGCUCACCUGGGGGACGAUCCCUAGCUGGUCUGAGAGGAUGACCAGCCACACGGGAACUGAGACACGGUCCAGACUCCGACGGGAGGCAGCAGUGGGGAAUAGGGGACAAUGGGCGCAAGCCUGAUGCAGCCAUGCCGCGUGUAUGAAGAAGGCCUUCGGGUUGUAAAGUACUUUCAGCGGGGAGGCGUUACCCGCAGAAGAAGCACCGGCUAACUCCGUGCCAGCCGCCGCGGUAAUAC
rnacentral:rRNA from 1 species